UAAUUUAUAUGUAAUUAGUUAAAUUUAUAUUUA
rnacentral:tRNA from 13 species